AUACGGAGGGGGUUAGCGUUGUUCGGAAUUACUGGGCGUAAAGCGCACGCAGGCGGCCCGGCAAGUCGGGUGUGAGAGCCCGGGGCUCAACCCCGGAAUUGCACUCGAAACUGCCGGCCUUGAGUACGGGAGAGGGAAGCGGAAUUCCUAGUGUAGAGGUGAAAUUCGUAGAUAUUAGGAGGAACACCCGUGGCGAAAGCGGCUUCCUGGCCCGAUACUGACGCUCAUGUUCGAAAGCGUGGGGAGCAAACAGGAUUAGAAACCCCGGUAGUCC
rnacentral:rRNA from 1 species